AGAUUGAACGCUGGCGGCAUGCCUUACACAUGCAAGUCGAACGGUAGAGUAGCAAUACUUGAGAGUGGCGAACGGGGUGAGUAAUAUAUCGGAACGUGCCCAGUCGUGGGGGAUAACGUAGAGAAAUUUACGCUAAUACCGCAUACGAUCUAAGGAUGAAAGCGGGGGACCGUAAGGCCUCGCGCGAUUGGAGCGGCUGAUAUCAGAUUAGGUUGUUGGUGAGGUAAAAGCUCACAAGCCGACGAUCUGUAGCUGUUUGAGAGACGACCAGCCACACUGGGACUGAGACACGGCCCAGACUCCGUACGGGAGGCGAGCAGUGGGGAAUUUGGACAAUGGGCGAAAGCCUAGAUCCAGCAAUGCCGCGUGCGAGGAACGAAGGCCGUUGGUUGUA
rnacentral:rRNA from 1 species